UCCGAUGUGGUGUAGUGGCUAACAUUGCUGUCUUUCAAUUGCAUCUACUGGAAUCCACAGCAGCCCGGGGUUCGAUUCCCCGCAUCGGAA